AUCGCUUCUCGGCCUUUUGGCUCAGAUCAAGUGUAGUAUCUGUUCUUAUCAGUUUAAUAUCUGAUACGUCCCCCAUCGGGGGACUACAUAUUAAAUGGAUUUUUCGAACAGGGAGUCGGAAAUGGGGCUUGCUCCGUCCGCUCCACGCAUUUGACUUUGCAGUUUUUCCUCCGGGAGGUGAAGCAGAA